AUUGAACGCUGGCGGCAUGCUUUACACAUGCAAGUCGAACGGUAACAGGCCUUCGGGCGCUGACGAGUGGCGAACGGGUGAGUAAUGCAUCGGAACGUGCCCAGUCGUGGGGGAUAACGCAGCGAAAGCUGUGCUAAUACCGCAUACGAUCUGCGGAUGAAAGCGGGGGACCUUCGGGCCUCGCGCGAUUGGAGCGGCCGAUGUCAGAUUAGGUAGUUGGUGGGGUAAAGGCUCACCAAGCCAACGAUCUGUAGCUGGUCUGAGAGGACGACCAGCCACAUUGGGACUGAGACACGGCCCAGACUCCUACGGGAGGCAGCAGGGGGGAAUUUUGGACAAUGGGCGAAAGCCUGAUCCAGCAAUGCCGCGUGCAGGAAGAAGGCCUUCGGGUUGUAAACUGCUUUUGUACGGAACGAAAAGGUUUGGGUUAAUACCCUGGGCCGAUGACGGUACCGUAAGAAUAAGCACCGGCUAACUACGUGCCAGCAGCCGCCGUAACAC
rnacentral:rRNA from 1 species